rnacentral:rRNA from 1 species
UACGAAGGGGGCUAGCGUUGCUCGGAAUUACUGGGCGUAAAGGGCGCGUAGGCGGGUUAUCAAGUUGGAGGUGAAAGCCCAGGGCUCAACCUUGGAAUUGCCUUCAAAACUGAUAACCUAGAGGAUGAUAGAGGUAAGUGGAACUCCGAGUGUAGAGGUGAAAUUCGUAGAUAUUCGGAAGAACACCAGUGGCGAAGGCGACUUACUGGAUCAUUACUGACGCUGAGGCUCGAAAGCGUGGGGAGCAAACAGG